CGGAGCUUGCUCCACCGGAAAAAGAAGAGUGGCGAACGGGUGAGUAACACGUGGGUAACCUGCCCAUCAGAAGGGGAUAACACUUGGAAACAGGUGCUAAUACCGUAUAACAAUCGAAACCGCAUGGUUUUGAUUUGAAAGGCGCUUUCGGGUGUCGCUGAUGGAUGGACCCGCGGUGCAUUAGCUAGUUGGUGAGGUAACGGCUCACCAAGGCCACGAUGCAUAGCCGACCUGAGAGGGUGAUCGGCCACAUUGGGACUGAGACACGGCCCAAACUCCUACGGGAGGCAGCAGUAGGGAAUCUUCGGCAAUGGACGAAAGUCUGACCGAGCAACGCCGCGUGAGUGAAGAAGGUUUUCGGAUCGUAAAACUCUGUUGUUAGAGAAGAACAAGGAUGAGAGUAACUGUUCAUCCCUUGACGGUAUCUAACCAGAAAGCCACGGCUAACUACGUGCCAGCAGCCGCGGUAAUACGUAGGUGGCAAGCGUUGUCCGGAUUUAUUGGGCGUAAAGCGAGCGCAGGCGGUUUCUUAAGUCUGAUGUGAAAGCCCCCGGCUCAACCGGGGAGGGUCAUUGGAAACUGGGAGACUUGAGUGCAGAAGAGGAGAGUGGAAUUCCAUGUGUAGCGGUGAAAUGCGUAGAUAUAUGGAGGAACACCAGUGGCGAAGGCGGCUCUCUGGUCUGUAACUGACGCUGAGGCUCGAAAGCGUGGGGAGCAAACAGGAUUAGAUACCCUGGUAGUCCACGCCGUAAACGAUGAGUGCUAAGUGUUGGAGGGUUUCCGCCCUUCAGUGCUGCAGCUAACGCAUUAAGCACUCCGCCUGGGGAGUACGACCGCAAGGUUGAAACUCAAAGGAAUUGACGGGGGCCCGCACAAGCGGUGGAGCAUGUGGUUUAAUUCGAAGCAACGCGAAGAACCUUACCAGGUCUUGACAUCCUUUGACCACUCUAGAGAUAGAGCUUCCCCUUCGGGGGCAAAGUGACAGGUGGUGCAUGGUUGUCGUCAGCUCGUGUCGUGAGAUGUUGGGUUAAGUCCCGCAACGAGCGCAACCCUUAUUGUUAGUUGCCAUCAUUUAGUUGGGCACUCUAGCAAGACUGCCGGUGACAAACCGGAGGAAGGUGGGGAUGACGUCAAAUCAUCAUGCCCCUUAUGACCUGGGCUACACACGUGCUACAAUGGGAAGUACAACGAGUCGCGAAGUCGCGAGGCUAAGCUAAUCUCUUAAAGCUUCUCUCAGUUCGGAUUGUAGGCUGCAACUCGCCUACAUGAAGCCGGAAUCGCUAGUAAUCGCGGAUCAGCACGCCGCGGUGAAUACGUUCCCGGGCCUUGUACACACCGCCCGUCACACCACGAGAGUUUUAACACCCGAAGUCGGUGAGGUAACCUUUGAGC
rnacentral:rRNA from 1 species